rnacentral:rRNA from 1 species
UGUAUAAUGGGUCAGCGACUUAUAUUCUGUAGCAAGGUUAACCGAAUAGGGGAGCCGAAGGGAAACCGAGUCUUAACUGGGCGUUAAGUUGCAGGGUAUAGACCCGAAACCCGGUGAUCUAGCCAUGGGCAGGUUGAAGGUUGGGUAACACUAACUGGAGGACCGAACCGACUAAUGUUGAAAAAUUAGCGGAUGACUUGUGGCUGGGGGUGAAAGGCCAAUCAAACCGGGAGAUAGCUGGUUCUCCCCGAAAGCUAUUUAGGUAGCGCCUCGUGAAUUCAUCUCCGGGGGUAGAGCACUGUUUCGGCAAGGGGGUCAUCCCGACUUACCAACCCGAUGCAAACUGCGAAUACCGGAGAAUGUUAUCACGGGAGACACACGGCGGGUGCUAACGUCCGUCGUGAAGAGGGAAACAACCCAGACCGCCAGCUAAGGUCCCAAAGUCAUGGUUAAGUGGGAAACGAUGUGGGAAGGCCCAGACAGCCAGGAUGUUGGCUUAGAAGCAGCCAUCAUUUAAAGAAAGCGUAAUAGCUCACUGGUCGAGUCGGCCUGCGCGGAAGAUGUAACGGGGCUAAACCAUGCACCGAAGCUGCGGCAGCGACACUAUGUGUUGUUGGGUAGGGGAGCGUUCUGUAAGCCUGUGAAGGUGGCCUGUGAGGGUUGCUGGAGGUAUCAGAAGUGCGAAUGCUGACAUAAGUAACGAUAAAGCGGGUGAAAAGCCCGCUCGCCGGAAGACCAAGGGUUCCUGUCCAACGUUAAUCGGGGCAGGGUGAGUCGACCCCUAAGGCGAGGCCGAAAGGCGUAGUCGAUGGGAAACAGGUUAAUAUUCCUGUACUUGGUGUUACUGCGAAGGGGGGACGGAGAAGGCUAUGUUGGCCGGGCGACGGUUGUCCCGGUUUAAGCGUGUAGGCUGGUUUUCCAGGCAAAUCCGGAAAAUCAAGGCUGAGGCGUGAUGACGAGGCACUACGGUGCUGAAGCGACAAAUGCCCUGCUUCCAGGAAAAGCCUCUAAGCAUCAGGUAACAUCAAAUCGUACCCCAAACCGACACAGGUGGUCAGGUAGAGAAUACCAAGGCGCUUGAGAGAACUCGGGUGAAGGAACUAGGCAAAAUGGUGCCGUAACUUCGGGAGAAGGCACGCUGAUAUGUAGGUGAAGCGACUUGCUCGUGGAGCUGAAAUCAGUCGAAGAUACCAGCUGGCUGCAACUGUUUAUUAAAAACACAGCACUGUGCAAACACGAAAGUGGACGUAUACGGUGUGACGCCUGCCCGGUGCCGGAAGGUUAAUUGAUGGGGUUAGCGGUAACGCGAAGCUCUUGAUCGAAGCCCCGGUAAACGGCGGCCGUAACUAUAACGGUCCUAAGGUAGCGAAAUUCCUUGUCGGGUAAGUUCCGACCUGCACGAAUGGCGUAAUGAUGGCCAGGCUGUCUCCACCCGAGACUCAGUGAAAUUGAACUCGCUGUGAAGAUGCAGUGUACCCGCGGCAAGACGGAAAGACCCCGUGAACCUUUACUAUAGCUUGACACUGAACAUUGAGCCUUGAUGUGUAGGAUAGGUGGGAGGCUUUGAAGUGUGGACGCCAGUCUGCAUGGAGCCGACCUUGAAAUACCACCCUUUAAUGUUUGAUGUUCUAACGUGGGCCCCUUACCGGGGUUGCGGACAGUGUCUGGUGGGUAGUUUGACUGGGGCGGUCUCCUCCUAAAGAGUAACGGAGGAGCACGAAGGUUGGCUAAUCCUGGUCGGACAUCAGGAGGUUAGUGCAAUGGCAUAAGCCAGCUUGACUGCGAGCGUGACGGCGCGAGCAGGUGCGAAAGCAGGUCAUAGUGAUCCGGUGGUUCUGAAUGGAAGGGCCAUCGCUCAACGGAUAAAAGGUACUCCGGGGAUAACAGGCUGAUACCGCCCAAGAGUUCAUAUCGACGGCGGUGUUUGGCACCUCGAUGUCGGCUCAUCACAUCCUGGGGCUGAAGUAGGUCCCAAGGGUAUGGCUGUUCGCCAUUUAAAGUGGUACGCGAGCUGGGUUUAGAACGUCGUGAGACAGUUCGGUCCCUAUCUGCCGUGGGCGCUGGAGAACUGAGGGGGGCUGCUCCUAGUACGAGAGGACCGGAGUGGACGCAUCACUGGUGUUCGGGUUGUCAUGCCAAUGGCACUGCCCGGUAGCUAAAUGCGGAAGAGAUAAGUGCUGAAAGCAUCUAAGCACGAAACUUGCCCCGAGAUGAGUUCUCCCUGACUCCUUGAGAGUCCUGAAGGAACGUUGAAGACGACGACGUUGAUAGGCCGGGUGUGUAAGCGCAGCGAUGCGUUGAGCUAACCGGUACUAAUGAACCGUGAGGCUUAACCUU